GACGAACGCUGGCGGCGUGCUUAACACAUGCAAGUCGAGCGGUAAGGCCCUUUCGGGGGUACACGAGCGGCGAACGGGUGAGUAACACGUGGGUGACCUGCCCUCAGCUCUGGGAUAAGCCUGGGAAACCGGGUCUAAUACCGGAUAUGACUCCAUGACGCAUGUUGUGGGGUGGAAAGCCUUGUGCGGCUGAGGAUGGGCCCGCGGCCUAUCAGCUUGUUGGUGGGGUGANGGCCUACCAAGGCGACGACGGGUAGCCGGCCUGAGAGGGCGACCGGCCACACUGGGACUGAGACACGGCCCAGACUCCUACGGGAGGCAGCAGUGGGGAAUCUUGCGCAAUGGGCGAAAGCCUGACGCAGCAACGCCGC
rnacentral:rRNA from 1 species